rnacentral:lncRNA from 1 species
UCAAAGUCAAAGAAGCGAAAACACACGUUAGAGGAACUAAAAACCCUGGGGCAGCAGCUGCUAUCAUCAAGAGCUCACAUAAACAACUUACCUCUACUGCUCACGUUCGUGUCUCCGUCGUCGCCGCCGCAGUUCCUCCUUGAAUCCCUCCUCACUCUGCAGUCCUUCUUUUCUCCCCUUUUGCCUCACCUCCCUCCCUCCUUCCCCUCUUCCACGAAGCGAACCGAAGUUUCUGGAAAAGACGAUCCUGAGUUUAUUUAUAAAACUUGGCUUCGCUCCAAGUUCGACGAGCUCGUUCAGUCGCUUCUCCUCGUUUUUGUUUCGCCGCAAUCCGAGG